ACUCAAAUGAAUUGACGGGGGCCCGCACAAGCGGUGGAGCAUGUGGUUUAAUUCGAUGCAACGCGAAGAACCUUACCUACCCUUGAAUCCUACGGAGUGAGCAGAGAUGCUGAUGUGCCGAGAGGAACGUAGAGACAGGUGCUGCAUGGCUGUCGUCAGCUCGUGUUGUGAGAUGUUGGGUUAAGUCCCGUAACGAGCGCAACCCUUGUACUUAGUUGCCAGCGAGUGAAGUUGGGGACUCUAAGUAGACUGCCGGUGAGGAAUCGGAGGAAGGAGAGGACGACGUCAAGUCAUCAUGGCCUUUAUGGGUAGGGCUACACACGUGCUACAAUGGGGCAUACAACGGGGAGCGAAGCUGCGAAGUGGAGCGAAUCCUAAGAAAGUGCCUCUUAGUCCGGAUUGAAGUCUGCAACUCGACUUCAUGAAGCUGGAAUCGCUAGUAAUCGCGGAUCAGCGAUGCCGCGGUGAAUACGUUCCCGGGCCUUGUACACACCGCCCGU
rnacentral:rRNA from 1 species